rnacentral:rRNA from 1 species
GACGAACGCUGGCGGCGUGCUUAACACAUGCAAGUCGAACGGAAAGGCCUCUUUCGGGGGGUACUCGAGUGGCGAACGGGUGAGUAACACGUGAGUAACCUGCCCUUGACUUUGGGAUAACUUCAGGAAACUGGGGCUAAUACCGGAUAGGAGCUCCUGCUGCAUGGUGGGGGUUGGAAAGUUUCGGCGGUUGGGGAUGGACUCGCGGCUUAUCAGCUUGUUGGUGGGGUAGUGGCUUACCAAGGCUUUGACGGGUAGCCGGCCUGAGAGGGUGACCGGCCACAUUGGGACUGAGAUACGGCCCAGACUCCUACGGGAGGCAGAAGUGGGGAAUAUUGCACAAGGGGUGGAAGCCUGAUGCAGCAACGCCGUGUGCGGGAUGACGGCCUUCGGGUUGUAAACCGAUUUCGCUCAUGACGAAGCUUUGUGUGACGGUAGUGGGUAAAGAAGCACCGGCUAACUACGUG